CUGGCGGCGUGCCUAACACAUGCAAGUCGAGCGAGGAGAUCCUUCGGGAUGAUCCUAGCGGCGGACGGGUGAGUAACACGUGGGCAACCUGCCUCAUAGAGAGGAAUAGCCUUCCGAAAGGGAGAUUAAUACCUCAUAACAUUGCAGUUUCGCAUGGAACAGCAAUUAAAGGAGUAAUCCGCUAUGAGAUGGGCCCGCGGCGCAUUAGCUAGUUGGUGAGGUAACGGCUCACCAAGGCGACGAUGCGUAGCCGACCUGAGAGGGUGAUCGGCCACAUUGGGACUGAGACACGGCCCAGACUCCUACGGGAGGCAGCAGUGGGGAAUAUUGCACAAUGGGGGAAACCCUGAUGCAGCCAACGCCGCGUGAGUGAUGACGGCCUUCGGGUUGUAAAGCUCUGUCUUCAGGGACGAUAAUGACGGUACCUGAGGAGGAAGCCACGGCUAACUACGUGCCAGCAGCAGC
rnacentral:rRNA from 1 species